GGGCCCGUAGUCUAGCUGGUUAGGACGCCGCCCUUACACGGCGGAGGUCGCCGGUUCAAAUCCGGCCGGGCCCA
rnacentral:tRNA from 1 species